rnacentral:sRNA from 1 species
AAGAGAGAGAGAAGAGAGACUCAAAAUUAUUAUUAGUGAAUAAAAUAAAGAAAAAU